UACGUAGGGUGCAAGCGUUGUCCGGAAUUAUUGGGCGUAAAGAGCUCGUAGGCGGUCAGUCGCGUCUGCUGUGAAAACUCGGGGCUUAACUCCGGGCCUGCAGUGGGUACGGGCUGACUAGAGUGCGGUAGGGGAGGCUGGAAUUCCUGGUGUAGCGGUGGAAUGCGCAGAUAUCAGGAGGAACACCGAUGGCGAAGGCAGGUCUCUGGGCAUUAACUGACGCUGAGGAGCGAAAGCAUGGGGAGCGAACAGG
rnacentral:rRNA from 1 species